rnacentral:rRNA from 1 species
AUUGAACGCUGGCGGCAGGCCUAACACAUGCAAGUCGAACGAGUGGCGGACGGGUGAGUAAUGUCUGGGAAACUGCCCGAUGGAGGGGGAUAACUACUGGAAACGGUAGCUAAUACCGCAUACCAUCGGAUGUGCCCAGAUGGGAUUAGCUAGUUGGUGGGGUAACGGCUCACCUAGGCGACGAUCCCUAGCUGGUCUGAGAGGAUGACCAGCCACACUGGAACUGAGACACGGUCCAGGAUCCUACGGGAGGCAGCAGUGGGGAAUAUUGCACAAAGGGGGGAAUCCUGAUGCAGCCAUGCCGCGGGGAUGAAGAAGGCCUUCGGGUUGUAAAGGACUUUCAGCGAGGAGGCGUUACUCGCAGAAGAAGCACCGGCUAAAUCCGUGCCAGCAGGCGCGGUAAUAC